rnacentral:rRNA from 1 species
GGGUUGUGAGGUUAAGCGACUAAGCGUACACGGUGGAUGCCCUGGCAGUCAGAGGCGAUGAAGGACGUGCUAAUCUGCGAUAAGCGUCGGUAAGGUGAUAUGAACCGUUAUAACCGGCGAUUUCCGAAUGGGGAAACCCAGUGUGUUUCGACACACUAUCAUUAACUGAAUCCAUAGGUUAAUGAGGCGAACCGGGGGAACUGAAACAUCUAAGUACCCCGAGGAAAAGAAAUCAACCGAGAUUCCCCCAGUAGCGGCGAGCGAACGGGGAGCAGCCCAGAGCCUGAAUCAGUGUGUGUGUUAGUGGAAGCGUCUGGAAAGGCGCGCGAUACAGGGUGACAGCCCCGUACACAAAAAUGCACAUGCUGUGAGCUCGAUGAGUAGGGCGGGACACGUGGUAUCCUGUCUGAAUAUGGGGGGACCAUCCUCCAAGGCUAAAUACUCCUGACUGACCGAUAGUGAACCAGUACCGUGAGGGAAAGGCGAAAAGAACCCCGGCGAGGGGAGUGAAAAAGAACCUGAAACCGUGUACGUACAAGCAGUGGGAGCACGCUUCGGCGUGUGACUGCGUACCUUUUGUAUAAUGGGUCAGCGACUUAUAUUCUGUAGCAAGGUUAACCGAAUAGGGGAGCCGAAGGGAAACCGAGUCUUAACUGGGCGUUAAGUUGCAGGGUAUAGACCCGAAACCCGGUGAUCUAGCCAUGGGCAGGUUGAAGGUUGGGUAACACUAACUGGAGGACCGAACCGACUAAUGUUGAAAAAUUAGCGGAUGACUUGUGGCUGGGGGUGAAAGGCCAAUCAAACCGGGAGAUAGCUGGUUCUCCCCGAAAGCUAUUUAGGUAGCGCCUCGUGAAUUCAUCUCCGGGGGUAGAGCACUGUUUCGGCAAGGGGGUCAUCCCGACUUACCAACCCGAUGCAAACUGCGAAUACCGGAGAAUGUUAUCACGGGAGACACACGGCGGGUGCUAACGUCCGUCGUGAAGAGGGAAACAACCCAGACCGCCAGCUAAGGUCCCAAAGUCAUGGUUAAGUGGGAAACGAUGUGGGAAGGCCCAGACAGCCAGGAUGUUGGCUUAGAAGCAGCCAUCAUUUAAAGAAAGCGUAAUAGCUCACUGGUCGAGUCGGCCUGCGCGGAAGAUGUAACGGGGCUAAACCAUGCACCGAAGCUGCGGCAGCGACGCUUAUGCGUUGUUGGGUAGGGGAGCGUUCUGUAAGCCUGUGAAGGUGUGCUGUGAGGCAUGCUGGAGGUAUCAGAAGUGCGAAUGCUGACAUAAGUAACGAUAAAGCGGGUGAAAAGCCCGCUCGCCGGAAGACCAAGGGUUCCUGUCCAACGUUAAUCGGGGCAGGGUGAGUCGACCCCUAAGGCGAGGCCGAAAGGCGUAGUCGAUGGGAAACAGGUUAAUAUUCCUGUACUUGGUGUUACUGCGAAGGGGGGACGGAGAAGGCUAUGUUGGCCGGGCGACGGUUGUCCCGGUUUAAGCGUGUAGGCUGGUUUUCCAGGCAAAUCCGGAAAAUCAAGGCUGAGGCGUGAUGACGAGGCACUACGGUGCUGAAGCAACAAAUGCCCUGCUUCCAGGAAAAGCCUCUAAGCAUCAGGUAACAUCAAAUCGUACCCCAAACCGACACAGGUGGUCAGGUAGAGAAUACCAAGGCGCUUGAGAGAACUCGGGUGAAGGAACUAGGCAAAAUGGUGCCGUAACUUCGGGAGAAGGCACGCUGAUAUGUAGGUGAAGCGACUUGCUCGUGGAGCUGAAAUCAGUCGAAGAUACCAGCUGGCUGCAACUGUUUAUUAAAAACACAGCACUGUGCAAACACGAAAGUGGACGUAUACGGUGUGACGCCUGCCCGGUGCCGGAAGGUUAAUUGAUGGGGUUAGCGCAAGCGAAGCUCUUGAUCGAAGCCCCGGUAAACGGCGGCCGUAACUAUAACGGUCCUAAGGUAGCGAAAUUCCUUGUCGGGUAAGUUCCGACCUGCACGAAUGGCGUAAUGAUGGCCAGGCUGUCUCCACCCGAGACUCAGUGAAAUUGAACUCGCUGUGAAGAUGCAGUGUACCCGCGGCAAGACGGAAAGACCCCGUGAACCUUUACUAUAGCUUGACACUGAACAUUGAGCCUUGAUGUGUAGGAUAGGUGGGAGGCUUUGAAGUGUGGACGCCAGUCUGCAUGGAGCCGACCUUGAAAUACCACCCUUUAAUGUUUGAUGUUCUAACGUUGACCCGUAAUCCGGGUUGCGGACAGUGUCUGGUGGGUAGUUUGACUGGGGCGGUCUCCUCCUAAAGAGUAACGGAGGAGCACGAAGGUUGGCUAAUCCUGGUCGGACAUCAGGAGGUUAGUGCAAUGGCAUAAGCCAGCUUGACUGCGAGCGUGACGGCGCGAGCAGGUGCGAAAGCAGGUCAUAGUGAUCCGGUGGUUCUGAAUGGAAGGGCCAUCGCUCAACGGAUAAAAGGUACUCCGGGGAUAACAGGCUGAUACCGCCCAAGAGUUCAUAUCGACGGCGGUGUUUGGCACCUCGAUGUCGGCUCAUCACAUCCUGGGGCUGAAGUAGGUCCCAAGGGUAUGGCUGUUCGCCAUUUAAAGUGGUACGCGAGCUGGGUUUAGAACGUCGUGAGACAGUUCGGUCCCUAUCUGCCGUGGGCGCUGGAGAACUGAGGGGGGCUGCUCCUAGUACGAGAGGACCGGAGUGGACGCAUCACUGGUGUUCGGGUUGUCAUGCCAAUGGCACUGCCCGGUAGCUAAAUGCGGAAGAGAUAAGUGCUGAAAGCAUCUAAGCACGAAACUUGCCCCGAGAUGAGUUCUCCCUGACUCCUUGAGAGUCCUGAAGGAACGUUGAAGACGACGACGUUGAUAGGCCGGGUGUGUAAGCGCAGCGAUGCGUUGAGCUAACCGGUACUAAUGAACCGUGAGGCUUAACCUUACAACGCCGAAG